UUUUUUUUUUUUUUGGGGGGGGGGGGGGUUUAAAGCCAAGAUUUUGAAUAUUAGCUUAUUUACUAAUUACAUUGAAGCAGCUCAUAAAGUUUGAGGAAGACAUGCACAAUAAAUGUUUAUUUUCCCUGCAACUGUAUGUUUCACUAGAUCUGUUCCAUUUUCCCUCUUUAAGAGGUAAACAGCAAUAGAUAAUGUGAAGACAUGAAAGAGGUAUUUAUAGCACAGAAAAACACAAGGUUGCUCUAUAAUACAGUCAUGCUUAGACCCAAGUGAAAAAAACCCUAAAUUAUGAAAGGUGCAUUUAAACCAGAUAUACUUAAAACAGUAUUUUAAUAAAUGGAGCAAGGUAUAACCAACACAAGCAUAUCUACAUUGUUUGUGUCUGCAGGUUAUGCAGAACAGCUUGUAGUCUUUAAUAUUUUAAGCGCAGAAGGGAAGAAGCUUUAAAAAAUGGAGGAAAAGAGGAGAAUACAAAAAGCUAUCCAGCACUCUGUAUACUACUAGGUCUCAUCUCUGCUUUUUUCCUCAAUCUCUAACAUCCUAAAUCUUCAAGAUCAGAAUCUUUAAUGCUGCUAUAAUCAGAUAAAUAUCAGUUCAGUGCAUGCCAGUGAUGCUGCUCAAUGAAUGAAAUUAUGUUUGUUUUGAUCAAGGCCUUAUGAACUUCCCAGUUUAGAUAAAUCUUGGUAUUACAGGCUCUGUGUGUAUUCACAGUUCUCAUGCACAAGAAAUAGACUUGCUUUUCUGUGGUCUCUCUACUGUCCAGAAGACUGGCUACUGUUCUGUACAUAAGAUCAUGAAUUGGGGAAGAUUUAUAGAACUGAGAUUAAGGCUCAGCAAAUUUGUAUGUGAUGACCAGCUCAGCAAAAGGCUUUUUUCAAUCAGAACACGAUGACACAGUGUGGACACCUUUUCCGGGCUCUGGAAUCCUUUUCCAUAGCUGGUGAAUGGUUUAUUUCAGCAUUGACAGCAACACCUCCAACCUCAGUCAAUAACAGGAGCUCUCUAAUGAAGGACAGAGGAGAGCAGGAGGAUCAGCAAGAGGAGCCUGGGAAUGAGGGGGAGCCACCAGAACCCGUGCAGAGAGAGGCUCUAGGACUUCCAUCAAAUCAGGCAGUGCCCUCCAGUGAAGCACACUGGUCACACUGGGAGCUGGGGAUAUUCACAGGACUAGCAUUUCAUUAAGGGAAUGCCCCUUUGAUGAAUGCAUCUUCAAGCCUCACAUAAAAUAGGAGAAAAUUUAUUUUUCUACUUGAGCUUGGGUUAUGUAUUUAUAAUGGAAGACUUUCCAGAUGGAAAAUGAUGAAUAUAUGUAAAGUCUUGCUAUAAUUUAAGUAAGGCUUUUUAAUUCAAAGAAAGCAAAAAAACCUGUAAUGUGAGCUGUCUAGACUCUCAAGAGGAAGUGGAGAACAUUUAUGUUUUUUGAAACAAAUAUCUAAAAUGAUUUAUAUAUUAUCCUCUGAAAGGGCUUAUUUUUAUCAGAUAACUAUAGAAUUAUCUAGAUUAGACUAUUAUCAGGGAGAUAGUUAAAUAUACAGGGAAUUUCUGUGAAGUGAAUCCUAUUCUACUUUCCAAGAAUCACUGUGUUUAUCUCCAUACUUUUAAGGACCUUAACUUAUGGAAAGGUUUAACUUGGUCAAUCCUUUGACACCUAAAUGAAAGCUGGAAGUAUUUGACACCUAAAUAUUCAUUUGAAUAACAUGCAAAAGUUUGAAAGAGCAAGAAAAACAGGGGUUGAACUGGGAUAACGCAGAGAUCAGCCUCUUUGUGUUUUUCUGUUGCUCUUAAAAACAUAAAGAAUUGACCAGUUUGUUUCAGUUUGGCGAGAGUCAGUAAUUCAAUAACAUGCCAUAUAAUGAUGAAUAUGCCAGAGUCAGAAAUCAAUGACAGAGAGUGUAAAACUUUAAAAAGUUGGUGAAUUAUUUAGGUGUCUCUCUUAACUGAGAAUUUUUCUAGGCAUGUUUUUGACUAGCCAAGUGUGUUUGGAGAGCUGGCUGUUUUUGUUUUUUUUUUUCUCAGUCUCUGCAUUAAUUUCUCGAUUUGCCUGAAAGUUCAGUUAGCUGCAGCUAAGGGCACAGGUAGAUUUAACAUGGAUGAGUCAGAAAGGUUUAACAAGUUACCACCAAUCUCCUCAGCUGACACCAUUCUCCAUCACAGGUUGGGCUUUUUUUCCCCUCAAAGUCAAGGCAAAGUGCAUGAGCCUCAACCUCAUUCAUUAUUGCUUAAGCUCAGACACAGAGGUCUUGAGGCAAUCUCCAAGCACAGCCACAUGUAGAUACAGUGGCUCAGUUAAUAUAUAAUAUCUUUAAAGAGCUUCUGGAAUUCAAUCCUAUGGCCCUACUACAACACAGACUGCCAUUGUUCUUCAGUAAUUUAGCUCUUCACAGCCACUCUGCUGGCUUUCAUCUUGCCUUUGAUGAGGCAAAGCCAAUGUGAAACUGCCACUGACAGCAGUAUUGUUCUAGGGUAUGCUCCUUUGUCACCCUGUACAGAAGAAGGCAGAAGAGAAGAAGCCCCACUAUCAGUAAUUGGAGUUAAAUUAGAUACAGUUACACUGACAUAAUGCUUUGUGCUUGUUAUUUUAUCCCUCAUUUCUUCCUAACCUCUCUUGCUAGAAGCAAGUUUUGCCCAGUCUAAGCAGCUUUUCUGCUAGUAAAUGUGCUGGCACAAUUUUUAAAGUAUUUCUGCAUCACAAACGCUAGCUUGGACUGGGUACCAGUAAAUAGAAUUUACAAUCAGCCUUCCUAAGGAGCUCAGGUCAUAAUGGCUCGUGUUACUGUGUGCUUUUGAAAGCUGGACUGCAUUAAGGUGUCUAUAUGGGCUCAGGGUUUGAAACAAAGAUAAUUUAUCGUGAAGGUGCUUCAGCAAGAAUAGAGAUGAGAAUGUCUUUCAUGGAGGAAGAGGAAUGAAGGGCAGGGAGGAAAAAGGAAAGUGAGAUUACCCUCUUUCCCCUGUGUGUCUGUUAUAUAUACCCUCUAAGGAGAUGGAGAACAAAGAAGAGAAGUCUGAUUUGGCAGGAAGCAGCUGAUCCAAGAUGAGGCAGUUAACAUUAUCUCUUAUUUGGAAUUCCUGUCCUUCCCUCAGACAUAUCCUUUUCUGCUCCUGUAGAAUAGGUACCUGCUCAGAGGUCUGCCUCAGUCCCUAAACAAGAGAUGGGACAAGCCUUUGUGAAACAGUGCAAAACAAAACUAGAAGGGUUGAUUUAAUUUCUCCCACACAUUUUGACUUAAGGAGCUGUAAAGCACUGCAGAAGAGUCUUUGUAAAAUAAGGUGCUUUCCUGUAUUGUAUUUAUCCUGUUAACCUUUUAAUCCCACCAACUGUACAUGCAGCAGAUUUAUUGCCACCGUUUUGGUUCUGAUCUUGCAAAAGGACCCAGUUCAUCUGUAACUUGGUCCUGUCAGUGCUGUCUGUUGCUGUAGUAACAUAGUAGUGCUAUACACCUUCAGGAAUCAGUGCUGCAGAACUGCUGACUUUUCUAAUAAGGAAAAAAAAAAAGGAAGAUAAAAUACCCUUUGAUUACAUCUAUCAUUCUUUGUGUUGCAGUGCUGUAACAAUGGAACUUUAAUGUUCCCUCUGAAAUAAAAAGAAAAAAAAGAGAAAACAGGACUUUCUCCAUUGUAUGGGGUUGAAGGAAGGUCUCGACUUUAAAUCCCCUGACAUGGACAUAUACUGCUGGGCUCAGUUUCAUGUUGGUACAGUCACAAAAAAUUGUAAUGAAGUCCACAGAGUUAUGCUGACAUAAAAUCCUCUGAACAAGGCUAGAAUCAAAUAUCUAACUUCUGUUAAAUUUCAUUGACUGUUAAUCCUGUGGGCUAACCUGAAGACCUAUUGUGGCCCACCAUGACACAGUAACUCUCUACCUCUGCAAUGGCUCCUAUGUUUGGUGGUGGAUAAAAAUUUCUGCUUGCAGCAGGAGCCUUGUUAACUAAGAACAUCUUCCUUUCAUUCCUGUUUUCAUUUCCCACUGCAUACACUGGAAAACUUUAUAAUCAAGAAGAUACCUAUUCCUGAACAGUGCAAAUUCAAACAUAAAAUUUAAGUAGUGACUGAAGUAUUUGCUGCAGUUUGGUUUUCUGCUUCCUUUGUCCCACUGAACACAGCAGCAGGGUUACAAUUGUACUUGUAUGCACAAGUUGUUUCUGUGCCUGGACAAGCCCAUGCUAGUACAGCAGCAAGAUCAGACUGAGCAGUAGAUGCUGCAGAAAUUAUAAUUCCUAUCCACAUUUAUCUUUACACAGGUAUAGGUAUAUUAGGAAAAUUAAUGCUCUCUAAACGUACUCAAUAAUGGCAAUAUGCUGACGAAUAAAAUGCAAUAGACAAUUAUUGAAUCUUAUCUAGGUAAAAAGCUUAAAGAAGUGACUGUCUCUUACAGUAACUUUUCAUAUGAUGCAAAUACUGUUAUUUUAAUGAAAGCCCUGGGCUUUGCAGUCUGAGUCAUGUACUUAGAGUCCUCAAAAUGGACACCACUGUAGCAACAGAAAAAAAUUACUGUGCAGUAUUAAUGGGUUCCUUGUUGGCGUCGCUUUUUUAUGAGCCUUUUGUGUAAAUUUUCCCAGAUUACUUUAAAACUCCAGUUGGAAUGAUUUCC
ensembl:lncRNA